UCCUCGUAAGUAAUACCCAUGACGUCAUCAUCGCCGAAAUGUUUGAAGAGUUUCGUUUCCAGUGUACAACACUUUUGCUGCGCGUGAAGUCGGUUUUUUCCCGCCUCACAUAUUUCGGGAGAUUGGCAGCGCCCGCUUCUUCUGCACCAAUUGGGGUGGAUUGUGGUCCAAAGAGCAAAAGCAUUGGACGGACCGAUUGAUUCGCCCGUUUCUCGGCUGUCGGACGGUACCGUUCGACGUACGUUGCGAAGGACUACGACUAUUGAAGGAAGAUGGAGAAGAUGGACCAUCAGUGUCACUCUGUGACUGAAGAAGAUUAUUACGAAUGGCUACUGACGGGAGAUCUACCCCUGGUCCUAACCUUCAAGCCUCCUCCAAAGACAUUCUUUUUGCGAA